UGAACGCAAUUCACGUGAGUAGCACGCAAAGUUGAAUUAUUCUAUGGGCAGAUCAUCAAUCCCGUAUUAGCAGGGCUAUACACACCAAACCGCCAUGACAACACCAUUUUACUAAAUUGUCCCUGUGACAGAUAAUCAACAAUAUCCUCCUAUCCUUAAAUUUACCGCACCUAACAUUCAUGUCAUUAAAUCUACACCGUCAAUCCAAGUAAUCUUAGCCGUCCAUUCAACAAAAAUUCUCUAUAAAAGAUAGGUUUGUGAAUCCUCAUUAUUAUCGUUCCACAGCCUCUAGGGUUUCAUCAUUCUUUCAUCCUUCUCCUUCUAUUCUUCAACUUUAGGUUUCCGAUCUCGUUGGUAACCUCUCCGUCUAUCUUCGACCGGUACUAGAUCUGUUCAGAUCCGAUGGAGAUCUUCACGCCGGUGGUGAUUUUGUUCAGAUCUGAGUUCAGAGGCGCGAUCUUCGCGUCGGUGUUGCUGUUUGGUAUCAAUUCUUAGAAAAGUCCGUUGUUGUUUCCUAAAUCAGGGCUUGAGAGAUUUUUUUUGCAGGUAUGGUGGCAGAUCGACGGACAGAUCUUAGAUCGGAAGUAUGCUGGUUUCACCUUGGUCAAAGUAAUGGAUGAAUCAUCUUCUGAUUUCUGGAAGUGCUCUGAGAUCUGGUUCUAGAUUGAUGUUUUACAGAUUCAUACAUGUAGCUGAACUCUGAUUUUUUAGUUGUGUAUUUGAUUGGGAGUAAUGCGGGUGGGAGUUUAAUGGAUGUAGGUUGUUUCAGGAUUUACAUAUCUUGAUUCGCUGAGCGUUUUGAGAAUUGAAUCUUGAUUGAUCUUGUCAUCCGACCUUUGCCAUGUCAGGUGCGCUUGCUUGGCAGGUCAACAAAAUAAUAAAAAAAAGAUUUGUUGGUUUUUGGGAGAGAUCGCACGGGGUUUUUGCCCGGGAUCUCUCCCCUGUGGUGUCUUCCUUGCUCUUUUUUAUCUCUUUAUUGUUUGUUUUAUGCUCGUUACGUCUUCACGUUUCACGACUCUACACGAUUCCUCUCGUGAUCAAUUCGCAGAAGGAUAUCCAAUUUCACUCAAACUCUUUUCAGUGCACAUAUUAAUUCAUAGAAGGAUUCCUUAUACUCCAUGGCAGAAGCAUAUAUUUGGUGAUGCACAUACUGAGAGCACAUAAUGAGGUAUUAUCUAUCCAAUUUCACUCCUACUCUUAUCAAUACAAUUGAGGUAUUAUUAAUCUAAUUUCACUCAUACUCAUAUCAAUGCAAUUCACAUAUUGAGGUAAUUAACAUCCGAUCAGCACUCAAACUCAAACCAUCAAUGUAUGUACGUACUUUGCACCUAUUUUAAACGUAUUAUCUAUCCAAUUGAAUUCAAAUUGCUUAUGAUUUAAGAACCAUUUAUAUAAAAUAUCAUUUCUUUUAUCAUAAGAUUUAUUAGUAAUACAGUGAAUUUAUCUAAUUGAAAAUGUAUUCCAUUAUACAGAAAAAUAAUACUGAAUAUAUCUAAUAGAAAAGUAAUUCCAUUAUACAAAUUUAUAGUAUCUCAUUAGUUCAUUACAAUCUGUAAAUUACAAGUUGUCAUGGAGGCUUCUUUAAAAUUUUAUUUGAACAUGCUGUUUUAAUUUCACAUACGGAAUUCAAAAAUCUUAAUUCAUUUCCGUUUUUUUUGCUCGUUUUGAUUCUUAUUUUAGAAUUGUUUCACAUGUAAACUGUAGUGUAUUUUCAUUGUGGCUAGCAACAUUUGUAUGUGCAGUUUAAUUCUGUAAAUUUCCCUGUCAUUGAAUCAUUUAGUUGUGAUAGAUUAUACUAUUUACAAAUUUUAAUAAGAAGUUAUGUUAGUUUUAGCUCAUCAAAUUCAUAUAACACAAUACAUCAGUUACGAUUAAAUGUAUCAUUUACCAGUUUCAAGUUGAAGGCUACAAAGAUAUGUGAAGAUAUAACAAUUCCGAUCAAUUGUUAUUUUAGUUGCCAAUACAUUUACCUCAGUGGAUCUCUCAGUUGUGAUCUAAUGUAUCCUUAGUUACUAGUUUCAAGUUGAAGGAUGUAAUGACAUGUGAAGAAAUAACAACCCCUGAGCUAUUGCAAGUGAAGUUUUAGUUCGGCUAAUGCUACUAUCUUAUUGGAACCUCUGUUGUAAAUACAAAUCAUUUGCCAAUUUAGAGGAGAAUGGAUAUAGAACAUAUGAAGGCACACUUGUGAUUCCCAGAAGCUUUUGUUAUGCUCAUACUCUCAAGUAAGGUGAAAGAUUAUUUGCUCUUUUAAUUCAUUUGAUAGCGUUGAAGUUUA